rnacentral:rRNA from 1 species
GGGACACGUGGUAUCCUGUCUGAAUAUGGGGGGACCAUCCUCCAAGGCUAAAUACUCCUGACUGACCGAUAGUGAACCAGUACCGUGAGGGAAAGGCGAAAAGAACCCCGGCGAGGGGAGUGAAAAAGAACCUGAAACCGUGUACGUACAAGCAGUGGGAGCACCUUCGGGUGUGACUGCGUACCUUUUGUAUAAUGGGUCAGCGACUUAUAUUCUGUAGCAAGGUUAACCGUAUAGGGGAGCCGCAGGGAAACCGAGUCUUAACUGGGCGUUAAGUUGCAGGGUAUAGACCCGAAACCCGGUGAUCUAGCCAUGGGCAGGUUGAAGGUUGGGUAACACUAACUGGAGGACCGAACCGACUAAUGUUGAAAAAUUAGCGGAUGACUUGUGGCUGGGGGUGAAAGGCCAAUCAAACCGGGAGAUAGCUGGUUCUCCCCGAAAGCUAUUUAGGUAGCGCCUCGUGAACUCAUCUUCGGGGGUAGAGCACUGUUUCGGCUAGGGGGUCAUCCCGACUUACCAACCCGAUGCAAACUACGAAUACCGAAGAAUGUUAUCACGGGAGACACACGGCGGGUGCUAACGUCCGUCGUGAAGAGGGAAACAACCCAGACCGCCAGCUAAGGUCCCAAAGUCAUGGUUAAGUGGGAAACGAUGUGGGAAGGCACAGACAGCCAGGAUGUUGGCUUAGAAGCAGCCAUCAUUUAAAGAAAGCGUAAUAGCUCACUGGUCGAGUCGGCCUGCGCGGAAGAUGUAACG